GACGAACGCUGGCGGCAGGCUUAACACAUGCAAGUCGAGCGGUGACUUCGUGUCUAUCGGCGGACGGGUGAUUAACGCGGGGGAAUUUGCCCUUCUCUACGGUAUACCCCUGGUUAACUUAGCUUAAGACCGCAUACGCCCUUUUGGGGAAAGAUUUAUCGGGGAAGGGUCAGGCCGCGUUGGCUUAGGUAGUUGGUGGGGUAAUGGCCUACCAAGCCGACGAUGCAUAGCUGGUGUGAGAGGAUGAUCAUCCACACUGGGAAUGAGACACGGCCCAGACUGCUACGGAAGGCAGGAGUGGAGAAUCUUAUAGAAUGAGGGCUAAUCUGAUCUCGCCAUGCCGCGGGAGUGAUGAAGGCCUUAGGAUUGUACAGCCCUUUGAGCUGGGAAGAUAAUGACGGUAACGGCAGAAGAAGCACCGGCUAACUACGUG
rnacentral:rRNA from 1 species